ACCGAUUUUAAAGAGCCAGAAAUACGCAACACCUACGACUCAAGUAACAUAAUACAAAGAAGAAGAAAAAUGAUCAAACGCAAGCAACGAGUAAAGCUUUUUUAAAAAAAACAAGUGUCUAAAUUAGCAGUGAAUAAUAGCAUACGAUACAAUGUUAGUGUGCAGUUUGGAGUAUCCUCUUGGAGAUAUAGAAUAUAAUCAUCACUGAAAAAGCAGACAGAAAAAUUGCUGACGAAGAAGAAUGGAAGGAACCAUGUAGGAGCAUAUAUAAUUGUAAAACAUAUAUAUAUAUAUUCAUAAAAUGAACAUUAAAAAAAAAUUUAAUAUUAUUCGCCUUACAAUGAAUGAUUUUGGUGUCCAGAAUGUAUGAAAGUAAUGAAUUUGUUUGAUCAUUUGACAUUGCCGAAAUAAACUUGCAUAUUUAUAUACAUGUAUGGAGCAGUCAUUGAAUUUCAUUUCAUUAAAAGUUUAUAACAUGAAAGAAUGAAACGAGACACUGUAAUAACCUGUGUGGAGCCAAACCGCAGAACACAAACGAUGACAACAAUACUCGAUGUCAAUUAUCAGCAGUUGGAACCUUACUCAGAAGGUGAUGGAGAAGAGCAAGAUGAAGAUCGGGAGGAGACGCCUCAAGAAUCUGGCGUGAUGAUCCAUGUUGUGCCAGAGAACAAUAAAACCAGAUGGAAUCAUAUAGAAGAUUUAGAUUCAUUUUUUACGCGAAUGUAUCAUUACCAUCAAAAUAACGGCUUUAUAUGUAUGAUGACUAAAGAAUUUUGCGAACUAGGACAAUUUAUAUUCGUAGUUAUUUUUACUCUCUUCUUGUUCAAUUGCGUUGACUAUCCAAUACUAUUCAGAGAUAAAAUAACAGGAAAUAGUACGUCUUUCAAGAUAAAAAUGACUGAUGCAUUUUUGCCAAUACAAAAAUGUUCUCAAAGCGUGGGCCUAAUUACCUGGAUAUUUAUUUCUGUAGCGACAAUUUUUUGGAUUCUACGAUUAGUAAAAUGUUUAUAUCAUUUGACUCAAUAUUGGGAUAUUAAAUUAUUUUUUAAUACUGCACUGAAAAUUGAGGACAAAGAAUUGCAAAAUGUCACGUGGUAUGAAGUGCAAAAGAAAGUUAGGGAAGUGCAAAAAGAACAAGAAAUGUGUAUUCACAAAAAAGAACUUACCGAAUUGGAUAUUUAUCAUAGAAUAUUAAGAUUUAAAAAUUAUAUGGUAGCUAUGAUAAAUAAAUCUUUAUUGCCAGUGAGACUUAAAUUGCCAAUUAUGGGAGAAGUAAUUUUUUUAACUAGAGGUCUGAAAUAUAAUAUGGAAUUAUUAUUAUUCUGGGGUCCAUGGUCGCCGUUUGAAAAUAAUUGGCAUCUAAAGGAAGAUUAUAAAAAGCAAAAUAAGCGUCAAGAAUUGGCUAAACUUUUAUCGAAACAUAUUCUUUAUGUUGGAGUAGCAAAUUUCAUUUUGUGUCCAUUAAUAUUGUCAUGGCAAAUUUUAUACUUUUUUUUCAACUAUGCCGAUUUAAUUAAAAGAGAACCCGGAGCACUUGGACUACGAAUGUGGUCACCAUUUAGUCGUUUGUAUCUUCGUCACUUUAACGAAUUGGAGCAUGAACUUAACGCUCGUCUGAGUCGAGCUUACCGUCCAGCAAAGAAAUACAUGGAUAUAUUUACAUCUCCAUUGAUCACGAUAAUCGCUCAAAAUAUUGUAUUCAUUAGCGGCGGUAUUUUCAUUAUAAUGUUAGGUCUGACAAUUUAUGAUGACGGUGUUGUAACGGUGGAACAUUUUGUAGCGACAAUGACAGUUUUUGGAACAAUUGCCGCCGGUGCAAGGGCAUUUUUACCCGAUGAAAAUUUAGUCUGGUGUCCGGAAACUUUGUUGACUGCAAUUUUGGCGCACACACAUUAUCGACCAGACAGUUGGAAGGAUCGUGCUCACACACAAGCGACACGAGCACAAGUUGCUCAAUUGUAUCAAUUUAAACUUGUCCAUAUUAUUGAGGAACUUGUUUCGCCAUUAUUGACGCCGUUUAUUUUGUGUUUUCACAUGAGGCCAAGGGCAUUAGAUAUCGUCGAUUUUUAUAGAAAUUUUACGAUCGAAGUCACCGGUGUCGGUGAUGUUUGUAGCUUUGCACAAAUGGACGUACGAAAACAUGGUAAUCCAAUGUGGCAAACUGUCGGUCAAAGUGUAUUGGAUGCACGUGUCACUGGAUUCGAUAAUCAUUAUGGCACCGAUCAAGAUAAACUUUAUCCAUUAUCAAAUCAAUACACUCAGGCUGAAGAUGGAAAAACGGAAUUAUCAUUAAUACAUUUUACCCUUACAAAUCCCGAGUGGAAACCGCCUAGUCAUGCUGAAACUUUCGUAACGGCUCUCAAGGAGAGAGCUCGAAAGGAGGCAGCAACCAAUAUUAAUGAAUUGAAUCCACUGUACACAAGUCUUAAUAGCUUGUCUAGUCUUGGCCCAGGCUAUAAUGAUAUUGUGACGAACAUUAUUCGGAGUGUGAUGCCGAAUCAAUUUAGUGUUCCAAGUAUGAGUCACGCAAUGUCAAAUGAAGCGGGAGCGUCGUCAUCGACGUCAAUGGGUGGAGAUGAAACCUGUAGUGUUAGAUCUAAUAUUCCUCCGCGAACAUUUAUGGGUCGUUUGCAUAAGGCCGAAGGACCUUUGCAUUCCGAUAAAGGAUUACUUUAUAGCUUGCAACAGGGACUGUCAAAUCAAUCGCUUGGUGCUUCAGUAUUCGGUUCCGGACAGGAACUCGUAUCCGAUUUAACAGUUCCGAUCGAAAUGGCGGCUGCCGAUAUGUCCUUAUCUACAUUGUACCUGCAUGAACUUCAUCAUAGACAAGUAAGAAGACGAGGCUACCAUGAGGUAGCCACAAGAAGUAUAUGGCAACCAGGUCCAGUUCAGGAGUUAGCCACACUUCCCGAAGUUAAACAAGAACGAGCACCAUUGCUCUUGCAUCAAGAUUCAUCGAUAAGAAAUAAAAGAGAUUCUUAAACUGACUUUUCUUUUUUUCACUAAUUUGCGCAAUGAUCAUCAAUUAAGAAUAAUAAAAUAUUUUUAUCUACAUUCAAAAAUAACGCUUCUAUUAAUUUGCACCUUUAAAUAAUUAUUUCAUAUCAUUUAAUGGAAAAUAUUUGUUUUUCCGAAUAUUUCCAGCUCACCAAAAUGAAAGUAUUUGAAAUAUUAUCAUUUAAAUUAAUUUCGAAUCGAAUUUAUAAAAACAAAAAUUCGUUAAAAUUAUUACUUCAUUUGUUUCAAGAAAAAAAUCUUGACUUGAAAUAUUUUUUGUUCUUAUAAUACAAAAGUAACAUUUUUGUAAUCAUGGAGAAUUUUUCCGAGAAAAUUUAUAAUUUACGGUGCAAUCGAAGUAUAAGUGAAAAAAUGUUAAAAGAAGAUUUUGUUUACGAUAUUCGACGACCAACAGAAAGAAAAUUCACUAUAUUGGAGCAACGAACAUUAAACUUUGAGUGCAAUAUUUGUUACGAACAGAUCGCAACUCGUCAUUCUUUAUCGACUCAUGUAAAAUUUCACUGUGAAAAUUAUUGUAAAAUUUGUUUUUGGGUUAUUCAACCUUAUGAAACAAUUGAACAACAUAUGGAGAAAUUUCACUAAUUUUUCAAUCUUUUAAAGAAAUAGUUUUAUUAGUUUUAGUUUGUAUUUAACAAAUAACAAUUGCGUGUACGUGUAGAUUAGAAUUUUGUUAAAAAAUGUUUUUAUAAUAAUAAAUUUGACAUUCUACCAAAA